rnacentral:misc_RNA from 1 species
UGAUAAUGUCAUUUUGGGCACCAUUUCUUCUUCUGCAUCUUGGUGGUCCUGACACCAUUACAGCCUAUUCAAUGGAAGAUAAUGAAUUAUGGAUGAGGCAAUUGCUUGGGCUAGCUGUCAAGUUUGGGGGGGCAUUUUAUGUCUUACUUAGAUCAUGGAUGGGAAGUCCAUUUAACUUUCUAGCACUUCCAAUGUUCAUAGUUGCAAUCAUCAAGUGUGGGGAGAGGACUUGGGCUCUACAAUUUGCAAGUAGCGACCAGUUCAGGAAAUCCAUGCUUCAUCGGCUUGAUCCAGGACAUAGCUAUGCUAAAUUCAUGGAUGAUUACACUUCAAAAAGAGCUGAGGGGUACAAUCUAUCACUGGAGCCAGUGAUUGAUGAAGCUUCCAUUGUGCUGGGUCAAUCUUGUAAAGCUGUAGAAAACAGCAUUGUCCCUGACGCUGCAAUCUUGCAUGAUGCUGCAUAUUGCUUUAAAACUUUCAAGAGGUUAUUUGCCGAUCUCAU